rnacentral:rRNA from 1 species
AGAUUGAACGCUGGCGGCAUGCUUUACACAUGCAAGUCGAACGGUAACAGGCCGCAAGGUGCUGACGAGUGGCGAACGGGUGAGUAAUGUAUCGGAACGUGCCCAGUCGUGGGGGAUAACGCAGCGAAAGCUGCGCUAAUACCGCAUACGAUCUAUGGAUGAAAGCGGGGGACCGUAAGGCCUCGCGCGAUUGGAGCGGCCGAUAUCAGAUUAGGUAGUUGGUGGGGUAAAGGCUCACCAAAGCCAACGAUCUGUAGCUGGUCUGAGAGGACGACCAGCCACACUGGGACUGAGACACGGCCCAGACCCCUACGGGAGGCAGCAGUGGGAAUUUUGGACAAUGGGCGCAAGCCUGAUCCAGCAAUGCCGCGUGCAGGAAGAAGCCGUUCGGUUGUAAACGUGCUUUGUACGGAACGUAAACGGUCCUAGGUUAAUACCGUGGGUCUAAUGAACGGUACCGUAAGAAGUAAGACGACCGACUAACUACGUAGCCGAGCACGCCGACGGUAA